rnacentral:tRNA from 1 species
GCCUUGUAAUAUCUGAGUAGAUUGUUGCUCUUGUAAAGCGAAGGGGGUGAGAGGAUUCACCACAGGGUU